ACUCAAAGGAAUUGACGGGGGCCCGCACAAGCGGUGGAUCAUGUGGUUUAAUUCGAAGCAACGCGAAGAACCUUACCUGGAUUUGACAUCCUGCGACAACCCUAGAGAUAGGGCUUCGGUAGCAAUACCGCGCAGAGACAGGUGCUGCAUGGCUGUCGUCAGCUCGUGUGGUGACAUGUUGGGUUAAGUCCCGCAACGAGCGCAACCCUUGUCCUUAGUUGCCAGCAUUCAGUUGGGCUCUCUAAGGAGACUGCCGUGGUGAACACGGAGGAAGGUGGGGAUGACGUCAAGUCCUCAUGGCCUUUAUAUCCAGGGCGACACACGUGAUACAAUGGACGCUACAGAGGGAAGCGAAAGCGCGAGCUCAAGCAAAUCUCAAAAAGGCGUUCUCAGUUCGGAUUGGAGUCUGCAACUCGACUCCAUGAAGUUGGAAUCGCUAGUAAUCGCGGAUCAGCACGCCGCGGUGAAUACGUUCCCGGGCCUUGCACACACCGCCCGU
rnacentral:rRNA from 1 species